GACGAACGCUGGCGGCGUGCUUAACACAUGCAAGUCGAACGGAAAGGCCCUGCUUGCAGGGUACUCGAGUGGCGAACGGGUGAGUAACACGUGGGUGAUCUGCCCUGCACUUCGGGAUAAGCUUGGGAAACUGGGUCUAAUACCGGAUAGGAACCAUCUUUAGUGUGGUGGUUGGAAAGUUUUUUCGGUGUAGGAUGAGCUCGCGGCCUAUCAGCUUGUUGGUGGGGUAAUGGCCUACCAAGGCGGCGACGGGUAGCCGGCCUGAGAGGGUGUACGGCCACAUUGGGACUGAGAUACGGCCCAGACUCCUCCGGGAGGCAGCAGUGGGGAAUAUUGCACAAUGGGCGCAAGCCUGAUGCAGCGACGCCGCGUGGGGGAUGAAGGCCUUCGGGUUGUAAACUCCUUUCGCUAGGGACGAAGCUUUUUGUGACGGUACCUAGAUAAGAAGCACCGGCUAACUACGUG
rnacentral:rRNA from 1 species